CCCUGGGGCCAUGGCCGACCCCAGCCAGACUCUGCUGAGCCCUGAGACCACCUGAGACCACCUGAGAGAGUGCCCAGCAGAGGGCAGGGGCUCCAGCCUGGGCCACGGGGGAUGGGCCAGUGUCAAGACACGGCCCACUGCCCAUUGAGGAGGUGCAGCAGGCCCCAGGGCUGCACCGCAGGAGGCUGGACUUAAGGAUGGGUGGAGAGGAGGCUUGUGGGGCCACCAAGAGGGGCCACACUCCAACCCAGGCCUCCCGGCACGUGCACACGCUUGGUCACAAACAGCAACUGAGUCAACCACGAGGCCUCACGCCCAGGAGCACAGAGGGACCGUGUGCGCAGAGCAGAACACAUCAGCAAUGAGGAAAUCAGCCCUGUGGGCAGCCUGCCCAGUCGCAGCCCAGGGGCGGGCUGGAAACACCCCUCCGCCCUCUGUCUGCCAUGCUGAUCUGACCACGCCGCGUGCCUGGCCUGCACAGCUCCGCUGCCCGAUGCCCACACUGCACCCUCUCAGAGCGAGCUUCCUCUCUCGGGGAGGUCAGCCUGGCCUUGCUUUCUCCUGUCCUGAGAUUCCUUUUCGUGAUGACGACAAGGACCCUCAUGGCCUGAGUUGAGGUCCAUCUCCCUUCAGGGGACCUCCUCAGGACCCUUGCCCCUGGGACACAGCUGCUCCUCAACAGCACAGCAAAGGGCUGGGCCUUGCUGCAGAGUGACCAGGAGGUGGGCACCAGCUGCCCAGCACCACAGGACAGAGGGUACCCAGUAGGGGGAGGGCCAGCCCAGUGUACCUGCCCACAUCUGCGGGAUCCAGCUGCUGCCCUGUCCUCUGAUGUCAUCCAGCUCCAUAGGUCAUCUUUGAGCAUGCGUGACUUGGGACCGUGAGAGCUCCUGGGUAUGAGGCGGCCCCUUGGAGCAGAUCUGCGCCCCUGCCCAGUCCUACUUACUCAUGAUUUCAGAAAGUCAACAAGUCAAAGUGCUCGCAGAGGAACAGGCUCAGGUCCCACAAGGCGCGUCAGCGUUAAACCAAAAGGGAACUGGCCCUGUGAGCAGGCUGGUUCUGGUCUGGGGGCCCCGGAUGUGCGGCCUGUGGAGGAGACACACACGGGUGAGCUCAGGAAACAGCGGUGCCAGCACCGGAAGGCCACUGCAAAUGGGGGUCAGUCCGAGUCCCUUCAGGAUGUGGCCGUGGGUUUACCCUGCGCCAUGGCUGCCCCCCGUUUCCCCAUUGGCUGUAGCCCUAGGCCGUGGCCAGCCGAGGCUCUGCCCCCUGUAGCUGGACAUCCCCAGCCCCCCGCCUCGUGCCAGCCUGCACAUCCUCACGCCCACAGCCAGCCCCCGCCCCUUCCCACCAGCAACGGCAACAACAGCAGUCACCAUUCUAGGGUCCAAGUGACAGGCUGGGCUUGGGGGGCCCUGCAGGCCUGCAGGACCUCAGGCCUGUCCCAGGAUGUCCAACCGACUGCCUCGGUCAUCCUUACAGCUGCAGGCCUGGUGUCCUGAGGCCGAUGAGCAGUUGACCCCUGCCUCCCGAAGCCCCACCGAGCAUUCUGGUCAGAAAGGGACUGGCCACCCAAAUAUCUAGCAGUUGCUGCUCUGAGCCCAGCACCCCUGAACCGGCAGGGGGUGGCCUAAAACGGUGUGCGGGUGGCUGGCCAAGCAUCUGUGCUGUGGCUGCUGUCUCCCCCUGAGCCGGCCACACACCUGCCCGCUCCGCUCCUCUGGGGGCGUCUCCACAGUGGGGCUUCUUCACCCCCAGGAAAGAAUGGGGCUCUCUGAGCAGGGAGCUGUGGCUGGGGAGGUGUCACUCCUCCUGUCCUUUGUCAGGCUUAGGCUUGGGAGGCAACAGUAGCCGGGCCACAUGUAGAACAGCCACCACCUGCAGCCCGGGGACAGAGGGCUCAGGCACAGAGUGCAUCCAGGGACACAGAGGCAUGGCUCAGACCAGGGCUUCUCACCUGCGGUGACUUUGAAUUCCAGAGGAUCCUUGGCAGACUCCAGAGACGCUUCACGUUGUCACUCUAGUCCCGUGGCAGUGGGGACGCUGUUCACACCUGCAUGCACUUUUCCUCUAUGUCCCUCCUCCAUCCUGCCCUCCUGUCCUGGGAGGCACAGGUUUGCUCCUGGAGCUUAAGGACGGACCCCAGAGGACACAGUGCCAGUGACCACAUCAAGGGUGCACGCCCAGCUCAGCGCCACACCUGCUAGCCCUGAGGACCUGAAGGGUGUCAGGCUUGAUUGGCUCUCGGCCCCCAGCCGGCAGCUGGAAGUUUGCUGGCAAGGCUGGUGACUCAUGGGGCUCCCUGCUGACUGGACCUCCUGCAGAGGCCCUGGGGUCCUGACACCGAGCCUCGGGCAUGGAAGGACUGGGGCCUCAGGCGAGGAGUGUGGAUGCUGCCGUCACCUGUGUUCCCGACCCCAGACAGGGCGUGUGAGUAGUGAAUGAAGGAGGGAUGCGGGGGACCAGCACCCAGCCCGCCAGCUGUCUCUCCUCUUCCAGAGCCUGGUCCCCAACAGCACCUGGUGUGACUGACUGCUGCCUGGCUCGACCCGCCCCCGCCGCCGGCUCGGCAUUCUGAGCGAGGGGCGAGCGCUGCAUGAUGAAUGGCUGCAGAGCAAGGGGCACUGGCCAACGAGGGGAGGCCAGGUGCCACAGCAGGACGGUCUCAGAGAAGGGAGGUGUGCCUGGUCCUGGGCCCAUACGACCCAUGUGGGGGCCCCAGAUGACAGUGUUGACACUAGACACCAUUAAAAAAGUGUUUUAACCAA